rnacentral:rRNA from 1 species
AUGGCUCCGGCUCGAGUUGCUGCAGGGGUGCUGCUGGCGGCGAUCGGCUUUGUGCUCUCUGUGGUCGCGGACAACCCGACCACGACAUCGCCGCAACCCUUCGUCUGGCAGAAGGCGCAUGCGACGUUCUACGGCGGCACCAGACGCCUCCGACACGAUGGGUGGCGCUUGCGGUGCUACAAGAUCGCAUGCGACCGGAAGCGAGCAGACCUGUUGUUUUGCAAGCCUGGCGUGACGGUCACUGUCACUGCCACAAACUUCUGCCCGCCCAAUGACGCCCUCCCCAAUGACAACGGAGGCUGGUGCAACCCGUCACGGCCACACUUCGACAUGGCCCAGCCAGCCUGGGAGAAGAUUGGUGUUUAUAGAGGUGGCAUCAUCCCUGUCAUGUACCAGAGAGUUCCGUGCGUGAAGCGGGGUGGCGUGAAGUUCAGAAUCAAUGGUCAUGAUUAUUUUAAUCUUGUUCUUGUGAGCAAUGUUGCUGCAGCAGGCUCAAUCAAGUCCAUGGAUGUCAAGAGCUCCAAUUCGGACGACUGGAUGCCUAUGGCACGCGAUUGGGGCGCUAACUGGCACUCGCUGGCGAACCUCACCAACAAGAUGCUCUCCUUCAGGCUAACCAACACCGAUGGACACAUACUUGUGUUCAACAACGUUGUGCCAAAGGGAUGGAACUUUGGGCAAUCAUUUGUUAGCAAAUUGCAAUUCUACUGA